UUCUCUUGGAAAAAAAGAUUGCCCUGUCAAGUGCUACUGACCCUGAAAAUAUCUGGUCUGAAGCCAGUUAAAGCUCUCUAAAGCUGCAGGAGUUGGCAGUUGCAGAGCGAUGUAAAACUACCGGGAACUUUCCUCUACGCGUGGUUGAGGAAAAGCACAUAUACCGCAGCAGAAUGAGCUACAUGGGUGCGCUGACCGUUCCAAAUCAAUCUGACGCUUUCCUAACCCACCUAUAACCUACUCUUAAGUAAUAGUUACACCUAAGUACAAAACAGAACUGUACCAAGUUCACAGGCGGCCGCCUAUAGAGGCCUCGCACCAGGCCCUUCAGGCCAGAGGUGCCAGCAGGAAACCGCCAAGGGGCCAGACGCGCGGCAAU